UACGUAGGGGGCAAGCGUUAUCCGGAUUUACUGGGUGUAAAGGGAGCGUAGACGGCAUGGCAAGUCAGAUGUGAAGGCCCGGGGCUCAACCCCGGGACUGCAUUUGAAACUGUCAGGCUGGAGUGCAGGAGAGGUAAGCGGAAUUCCUAGUGUAGCGGUGAAAUGCGUAGAUAUUAGGAGGAACACCAGUGGCGAAGGCGGCUUACUGGACUGUAACUGACGUUGAGGCUCGAAAGCGUGGGGAGCAAACAGG
rnacentral:rRNA from 1 species